rnacentral:misc_RNA from 1 species
GAUGAAGAACGUAGCGUAAUGCGAUACGUAAUGUGAAUUGCAGAAUUCAGUGAAUCAUCGAAUCUUUGAACGCAUAUUGCGCUCUCUGGUAUUCCGGAGAGCAUGCUUGUUUGAGUAUCAGUAAACACCUCAACUUCCAUAUCUUUUUUGAAAUGGGAGUUGGACUUGAGUGAUCCCAACGCUUUUCCUCACCGAAAAGUGGCGGGUUACUUGAAAUGCAGGUGCAGCUGGACUUUUCUCUGAGCUAUAAGCAUAUCUAUUUAGUCUGCCUAAAAAACAGAUUAUUACCUUUGCUGCAGCUAACAUAAAGGAGAUUAGUUCUUGUGCUGACUGAUGCAGGAUUCACAAAGACAGGCUUCGGCCGACUUUGUAAACUCGAUCUCAAAUCAAGUAAGACUACCCGCUGAACUUAAGCAUAUCAAUAAGCGGAGGA